rnacentral:rRNA from 3 species
CCCGGCGGCACUAGCGCGGUGGUCCCACCUGACCCCAUGCCGAACUCAGAAGUGAAACGCCGUAGCGCCGAUGGUAGUGUGGGGUCUCCCCAUGCGAGAGUAGGGAACUGCCAGGC